rnacentral:rRNA from 1 species
UUCGCAAUGCCCGAAAGGGUGACGAAGCGACGCCGCGUGCGGAAGAAGGCCUUCGGGUUGUAAACCGCUGUCGGGAGUUAAGAAAUGCAAGGGUGUUAACAGCAUCCUUGCUUGACUAAGGCUCCGGAGGAAGCCACGGCUAACUCUGUGCCAGCAGCCGCGGUAAUACAGAGGCGGCAAGCGUUGUUCGGAAUUAUUGGGCGUAAAGAGCACGUAGGCGGCUAUGUAAGUCGGUUGUGAAAGCCUUCCGCUCAACGGGAGAACAGCAUCCGAUACUGCAUGGCUUGAGUGCGGGAGGGGAGAGUGGAACUUCUGGUGGAGCGGUGAAAUGCGUAGAUAUCAGAAGGAACGCCGGCGGCGAAAGCGGCUCUCUGGCCCAUAACUGACGCUGAGUGUGCGAAAGCUAGGGGAGCAAACGGGAUUAGAUACCCCGGUAGUCCUAGCCGUAAACGAUGGGCACUAAGUAGAGGGGUUUU